GAGAUCUAGAAAAUUACACUACAGACAACUAUGCCUUGAAAUAAGGAACCUCAAUCACAGGAGGGGGUAGUUAAGGUUUCUAAUUGCACAUUAUUCAGACGUCCCUCCACUCCUUCAACGAAUUAGCAUGCCUCUAUAGAUCCAGUCCUAAAGCUACACUAAAAGAGAUUUGGCUAGAUUCUUCCAAUAUCAAGUCGUGUGCAAAGAAACUCAGUAACAAUUAAAAAUGUAACCACAAUUCUGUCUCUUCUGUACCUCCCUCGGGUUCUGUACAGGCCAGCCAAGUUAUCCCGCACAAGGAUGCUGACCCCCAGGGAGGAUCAGGGCAAAAGAAGGAAUCCAAGGUAGUAUUUGGCAGAAAACUCGUAGUUCCCACGUUUGGCUGCCCACUGGAGACAUCUGGGGAGCUCUUAAAACUACCAACAGCAGCUUGCUGGUUACCUGGCUCUCAAAGGGCAGGUGGGGAGGACUCAUUUGUGAUUUGUAGCGUCUGACAAUUAUUGUGGCAGGAGUACCCCAUGGUGGCAGAUCGUAAGCCACCGGCGUGAUGAACACGGGCUUGGGGCGAGCCGCACGGCCCGGAUGAGCCCGCUCCGGCACACUGCUGGGCUCACCAGGGAUUCUGGUUUAAAUGCGGAGGGGUGGGGCCCGAGCAGAGGGACGCUGAGAACCAGUCCCAGGUGAUUCCAAUGUGCCGCCAUGUUUGAGAACCAGCCACCCCGUUCGUGUAGCUCUCGCUCAGGCUGCUUCUUCCGGCACCUUCUCAUCAUCUGCUCUACAACUGUCAGGACUCCUCUCUGGGCGGAUUCAGUGAGAUGCAAUACCACAAUCCCUCCCUUAUGCUAGCGAAAUUUUGAGAUGAGAUACUUCAGAAGAAUUCAAACUCUGCCUUCGCUGCAGAGUAUGGAGUGACGCCAAGCUGGCUUGCUGCCCCUCGACUUAAGAUCGCAGGCACAGUGUCACGCGAGGCUGGAGCACAAGAGAACCAGUGUGACACUGCCAGGUUGAUGAACAUCAAAGCCUCCCUCCCUCCCAGAGUGACCUGACAAGAGCAGACCAGCACUUACUGGAGUUACCGGGAAACAACACAAGUCCUCACUCCUCCCUGUGCCUGAACAAUGAGACAAGGUCACCUGGCAGCGCUCAUGACCAUUUUAAACGCACAGUUUGCAGGUAUACCCAUACCGUCCUUGCUCCUUCUGGGCUCUCCCUCUAUCCCAGGAUCUGGAGGCCUGAAAACUACAUUUGCGCUCUCUCUUGUUGGCAAGGUUCCAGUUUGGCUUCUGCCAUUGAGAGACACUGCAUAACACCUCGGAGGCAGGAGAGAGAAGAGGCCAUUAUCACUCCAGCAGCAGCGUGAGGCAUGUCUCUUUGACAAAUGGCAGACGCGAAGUUUUGCAGCUUCUCCAAGUGUCUUCCUGCAGAUCACUUUGGUGCUGCAGGCACCUGAGAUGAUCCGUGGUGAUUGCCCACAAUUUCUGGAAUGCGUGGUUUCCUAAAAGCUAUCUGUGGCUGCCCGCCCCCCUCCCCCCGCCUCCGCCCAACCCUUCACAAUGUUUUCUUGGAAUUGAGGUUCCUGUAUUAUAUCCCCUUGUACUUGAAAUAGCCUUGAGUGGCUUUUGUUUUCUUGGCUGAUGCAUGUUGUAAAUGGCAACACAGAAAUAUAGAGAGAGGUCCUAUGGGAUUAUAGCUUUUGGUUGUCAAAAGUGGCUGAAAGUAAGAGUAUACUUAAACUCGUGGAUACUGGGGAAAUCGCUUGACUUGGAAGGUGUCAGGUGCUCAGCUGAGCUGGGAGAGAGAGCUGAGCUACAAGGUAUGGGAAUAACCAACGAAAGCAACAAACCACAAAGGAUAAAGCGAGGUAUGAAAGAUUUAAGCCCUUCAUCACUUACUAUGGUAGUAAAGGAAAAGUCUAAAACUGGAAAAAGUGCCAAUUCCCCCAUCUCAUUCCAUCCCCCCCCCCCAUUGAUUUGGUGGGCUUGUUGAGGUUUAGGUGGAUCAGCACAGAUGUGGGGGUCUGCUCUCUGUUGAGGGAGACCUGCUGGGAAAAGCCUUUGUAACUACCUAUGGUCAGGCCUGAAAAGAUUAGCAGUUCAGCAAAAGGGUAUAUAUAGAGAUGGACCUAGGUGAGUGGGCACAGACCACAGGGAUCUUUGCAUUUCACAUUAAUACCCAAAGGGUAUAGCCACAGAAGAGUGGCACAUAACCAUCAAGCAGAGAAGAUCACUUGUGCCAUGGAGGUCAACCUCCUCUCUCUAUCACGGUGGCAAAAUGGGCCCAUGAAUAGAGACUCUGCAUUGACCCGUACUCGGGUCACAGAGCUUGAUCUAACCACGGCUAUGGAUGAACGCCUAACCUUGCAGCAGUCAUAGACACUGAGCCCUCGGUAUGGACCCAUUCCUUAGGGAAGCCAGAAAGCCACUUGGUGGCAACCUGAUUACAUUUGUCCUUCUCUCUUGGAAGAAGCAGGGAUUUGUCCUCGUUAGGACAGACGAUGUGCCAUAGGCCCUGAGCAUGUCUGCACAUUUUUUUCUGGGUGUGCCAAGAAUCCAAGGCCCUCGUAGCUCUUCCCCAGGUCAUUUCUCAGGGUUGUGUUUACAGCAAUCAACCUUGAGGGAUGAGAUAGCAUCUCCUUUCAGGACAAACAGAGGCUAGUUUAUUGCUCACUUUAAAACAACAGGCUCCCAAGCUGAGUAUUCCUCAAUUGUAAUGCAAAUCUACUGCAUCUGUCUGGUCCUUCCAUCACACCUCUGCGAGCCUUAGAGUUUGGAGGAAAUGGCCUACAUCAUGCUACUUGUGCCGGGAGUAAAAAGUCUGUGUCUCUGAUCUCAGAGUCUUCUGUCUUCUGCCAGCAUCCAUAAAAUAGUAACAGGUUGACCUACUAGCUUAAAAGCAGGCUAAAAUCAAUUUUCAAACCUGACAGUUUUUAUCAGAAUUGAUAGCAAUUCCAGGUAGGUAUUUGCCUUCUCUACUUUUAGUACCCCUAUCAGCAUCAUAAACCAAGAGCUUAGAGAAUAUCUCAAUUGUCAACUUAAAACCCUGUAUAACAUUGCCUGAGAUCAAAGAAUCCUUAAUAGUAAGGGAAGUACAAACAUAUAGGCACACGAACACAGUACCCCCUGUUUUUAUCAUGUGCCCCAUCCAUCACUCAGAGGCAUUUGGCUUAACAAAAUGGUAAUCUGCUGAAGAUUCAGAUAAGGGACCACCUUAGGGUCAAAACUGCAUGGUUUUAGAUACUUGUCUCUAGAGGGCCCCUGGGUGUCUCAGUCAGUUAAGCAUCUGACUUUGGCUCAGGUCAUGAUCUCACGGUUCAUGAGUUUGAGUCCUACAUAGGGUGAGCUGGAGCCCCACUUCAGAUGAACACGAGCCCUGCUUCAGGUG